rnacentral:rRNA from 1 species
AUACGGAGGGUCCGAGCGUUAAUCGGAAUUACUGGGCGUAAAGCGUGCGCAGGCGGUUUGUUAAGCGAGAUGUGAAAGCCCUGGGCUCAACCUAAGAAUCGCAUUUCGAACUGACCUACUAGAGUCUUGUAGAGGGGGGUAGAAUUCCAGGUGUAGCGGUGAAAUGCGUAGAGAUCUGGAGGAAUACCGGUGGCGAAGGCGGCCCCCUGGACAAAGACUGACGCUCAUGCACGAAAGCGUGGGGAGC